rnacentral:sRNA from 1 species
UUUUUUUUUCCUUUUUUUGUUCU